UAUCUUCGUAUUAUUUCUUUUUUUCUUUCUCUAUGGAUAAAUGGGAAAUAAAUAAUCAAAAAAUAUAUCAUACACAAAAUUAAUAAUAAUAAUAAUAAUAAUAAUAAUAAUAACAGCAGCAUAAGCGAGUUACCUACGUGGAAAACUAUCAUAUUUUUUCCUAUGGAAUUGAAAACUGGAAAAGGACAUCUUACGGACAUCGUUAGAGACAACAACAAUUAUAAAAACAGGAAAGAUAUCAACAGUGAAUGUAACGCAAGUGACCCUCACCACUGAAUGAGAGACAACAAUAAUAACAACAACAAUAGCAAGCUUAAGCAGCAAACAAAAUUCUCUCUGCCAGAAGAAGAAGAAGCAAGCUAUGAAGAAGAAUUGACUGAUAUCUGUUCGAUAUUUGUUUUUCAUCUUAAAAUGGCCGACAACGACUAGUUGAUCACACUCUAAUAUAUCCUCGUCGUCGUUGCCAUAUAAUGGAGCUGUUGUGAUUGCCAAGAGAGAGAGAGAGAGAGAGAGAGAGAGAGAGAGAGAGAGAAUAUAAUAACGAUCGUUGAUGGCUGCUCCAUCGUCUGCUAGGGAUGACAAAAACGACGGACUUGUUAGGUUUAAACCUUCAGCAGCAGACCUUAGGCGUUCAGUGAAUUAAAACUGUCUGCACGGAAACGAAGAAUUCAAAGUAAGUGGCUUUCUCGCCGUCAUCGUCUUCGUCACCACCAUCAUCAUCAUCAUCGUCGUCGGCGUUGUUGUCUUCGUCUUCAUCAUCAUCAAUUCACACGUUUAUGUUUUAUAUGUAUAUGGUAUAUAUACAUACAUACAUACAUACGUACGUACGUACUUAUAUAUAUACAAACACACGCGCCUGUAAUAUAUAUAUAUAUAUAUAUAUUACUCUUUUACAUGUUUCAAUCAUUUGACUGCGGCCAUGCUGGAUCACCGCCUAAAAGAGUGUUUUAGUCGAAGGAAUCAACCCCAGAACUUAUUCUUUGUAAGCCUUUUUACUUACUCUAUCGGUAUCAGCAAAAGGGACCGAUAGAAUAAGUACUAGGCUUACAAAGAAUAAGUCCUGCGAUCGAUUUGUUCGACUGAAGGUGGUGCGCCAACAUGGCCGCAGUCAAAUGACUGAAACAAGUAAAAGAAUAUAUAUAUAUAAACACACACACACACACACAUUGCGUACUAUAUAUAUAUGGACAUACACUGCGCCUAUAUACAUACAUACAUACAUAUAUAUAUAUAUAUAUAUGUAUGUAUGUAU